rnacentral:rRNA from 1 species
CCGAGUUUACAACUCCCAAACCCAAUGUGAACGUUACCAAACUGUUGCCUCGGCGGGAUCUCUGCCCCGGGUGCGUCGCAGCCCCGGACCAAGGCGCCCGCCGGAGGACCAACCAAAACUCUUAUUGUAUACCCCCUCGCGGGUUUUUUUUAUAAUCUGAGCCUUCUCGGCGCCUCUCGUAGGCGUUUCGAAAAUGAAUCAAAACUUUCAACAACGGAUCUCUUGGUUCUGGCAUCGAUGAAGAACGCAGCGAAAUGCGAUAAGUAAUGUGAAUUGCAGAAUUCAGUGAAUCAUCGAAUCUUUGAACGCACAUUGCGCCCGCCAGUAUUCUGGCGGGCAUGCCUGUCCGAGCGUCAUUUCAACCCUCGAACCCCUCCGGGGGGUCGGCGUUGGGGAUCGGCCCUGCCUUGGCGGUGGCCGUCUCCGAAAUACAGUGGCGGUCUCGCCGCAGCCUCUCCUGCGCAGUAGUUUGCACACUCGCAUCGGGAGCGCGGCGCGUCCACAGCCGUUAAACACCCAACUUCUGAAAUGUUGACCUCGGAUCAGGUAGGAAUACCCGCUGAACUUAAGCAUACAA